UCCCUGGUAGCUCAGAUGGUAAAGAAUCUGCCUGCAAUGCAGGAGACCCAGGUUCAAUCUCUGGUCAGGAAG
rnacentral:tRNA from 1 species